GAGUUUGAUCCUGGCUCAGGACGAACGCUGGCGGCGUGCCUAAUACAUGCAAGUCGAGCGAGCUGAACCAGCAGAUUCACUCCGGUGAUGACGCUGGGAACGCGAGCGGCGGAUGGGUGAGUAACACGUGGGUAACCUGCCCUAAAGUCUGGGAUACCACUUGGAAACAGGUGCUAAUACCGGAUAACAACAAUAGCUGCAUGGCUAUUGCUUAAAAGGCGGCGAAAGCUGUCGCUAAAGGAUGGACCCGCGGUGCAUUAGCUAGUUGGUAAGGUAAUGGCUUACCAAGGCGACGAUGCAUAGCCGAGUUGAGAGACUGAUCGGCCACAUUGGGACUGAGACACGGCCCAAACUCCUACGGGAGGCAGCAGUAGGGAAUCUUCCACAAUGGGCGAAAGCCUGAUGGAGCAACGCCGCGUGAGUGAAGAAGGUUUUCGGAUCGUAAAGCUCUGUUGUUGGUGAAGAAGGAUAGAGGUAGUAACUGGCCCCUAUUUGACGGUAAUCAACCAGAAAGUCACGGCUAACUACGUGCCAGCAGCCGCGGUAAUACGUAGGUGGCAAGCGUUGUCCGGAUUUAUUGGGCGUAAAGCGAGCGCAGGCGGAAAGAUAAGUCUGAUGUGAAAGCCCCCG
rnacentral:rRNA from 1 species